GCGGGUAUGGUGAAAUGGUAUCACGCCAGCUUCCCAAGCUGGCUGUGCGAGUUCGAUUCUCGCUACCCGCU
rnacentral:tRNA from 1 species